CAUGAAGCAGAUCAAGAAGAGCCUCAUCCGCCUAGGGUUUCUGACUGCCGGAGCUUCAGGUGGAGGACGAUGGCGCCGCCGCCUCUCCUUGCCGCCGGUUGUCCCGCCGCACUCUCGUCCGUAGGGGACGCGGGAUGAUGAGCUCGACCUCCACACGUCCCUGGGUCCAUGGCGGCCAGUAGCGGCUUGUCUGCCGCCGCCCUCUCCCCCUUAUCCCCGUCCAGAGCAGGCGUUCCUCCCGCUUCCUCUAUGCCGACCACGAGCCCGACAGAUCUCAGUUGCUGGCUUGUGGGGAAAACACGGGAGGGGGCCGCUCGUCCCCAGAGUCUCCCGUCGUCUCCAUCUCCCUGGGAUGCCUCCUUCCAGGGAACUCGACCUCCACCAGCUCGCCCCCGACUCCACAGCGACCGGCAGCAGCGGCGCUCGCCCAAGCUUGUUGAGGUGGAUUAAAUAUAUUGGUUCAACCCAAUUUGCAAAGCUGGAUUUCUGUUAGGAGGAGUAGGAUGCAAUUGAGCAAGCAUACAUCCCUAAGACGCUUCAUUGUUAUUUUCGUAGCCAGGGGAAGAGACCAUGGGAAGCAAGGGGAAAGUUUGGAAGUUGGCAAGUCAUUUACCAUAGCUCUCAACCGUGGCCUGGUAAUAGUCUUCUUGUUGUCCUUUUAUUUUCCAAUGAAAACCUGCGGGGGACGAUAAUAGUGGGAGAUUGUAAGUGUGUUUUGUUUACAGGCAUUGACAUGCAUAUCUUAUUUAAACCUUGAGGCUCUAAAGUCCUAAUAUGCAUAUCUUUUUUAAACCUUGAGGCUCUAAAGCCCUACAAAGGGUGCGAAAGAUGGAGAAUCGACAGCUAAUCUGCCAUAGAUGCUGCUGUUUUCUUAGGCUCGUCACCUCCAGCACUGUCUAUAACAGAGAGUGAGGUUGCCAGAUGUGGUAGUUGAUACUAGGGAUAUAUUGGGCUUAUUGCUGCAUUCUGCAUCAUUGCUGCAGUUUGCUCUGAAGGAAUUGUAGUCAUGAGUGUACUAGAACUAGACCAUGUUCCACUAGUGACAUGGGCACUACCAAAUCGUUCUCUUAGUUGCACGGCCUGUUCACCCUCUGCUCGGGCAACCUGUGUCAAUUAAUUCUGAUUAGUUGCAAGCAAUGUUGAAGAAAGUUAGUUGUAACCUCAUAGCAAAACUCCAGCAACAAGUUUAUAGAAAUGGAUACUACAUACACAGAGAAGAUACAUGUUUUGAUUCUGAACAUUUAUACGGCUCGAGAAAACUCCUGAACUACGACGCACUGAACUCCUGUAAUUGUGAUGUUGAAUCAUAUGGGGAACCUCUAAUUGGAUAUUUGGAUGCCUAUGGUAAGUUAUAAAAUUUCAGGCAUGUUUUUCCAGUACAAGUUUACUACCACUGUAGUCUAAGCUAGUGAUGUUGGUGGCAAAGCUGCCCCUCGUAUCCUUUAGAUUUUAACUUCUUCUUUUUUCUAUGUGGCAUCUGUAGAUAUUGAGUUUGAGAACAACAGUGAAGUUGGUGUUUCCUCUAAGCUCACAAUUGCCUAAUGCAUAGUUUUGCAAUUGGAGGGUCCUACAGGGUGAUGAGCAAGUGCAUUGUGAACUGUGGAUUGCAAGGUUUCUUCAUGGAAUUUUUUGGCCAUGUGCAGAGCAUGAUUCUUGUGUGAGAUCCGCUUCGUCAUGUUUAUUCAGGUGAUUUAAUUCCCCAUCUAACUUCUGCUGGGCUGCUUCACCUCGUAUGGCCGUCCAUGGCAACUCGUCAUCGUCCUCACCUGGUUUGGCCAUCGCGCUCUCCAGACCUAGGAAAUUAUGGAGAAUACAGUGGGGCUCCCAAAGAGGAGGUUUUGCAGUAUGCUAGAGUGGUUUUGGAUUGUGUCACCGCUGAUCCUGAUGGCCGGAAGAGAGCUCUUCUCAUUUGAAGCGGUAUAGCAAACUUCAGUGAUGUGGGCUUUAAGAGAAAAGUUUGCCUGCCGUUUGGGACCAAGAGCCAAUGCGCGGGACGAGAUCCUAGAGAGGCAAGAUGCAGCAGGUAAGCAUGCCCAUAACAAAACUGAACCGAACAUUGCAUGAGAAAAUUAUCUUCUGUACAUGUUUGGCCAAAAUGCAACACUGUCUGAACUAGCUGAUGAUCUCA